rnacentral:rRNA from 1 species
GGUUAAGCGACUAAGCGUACACGGUGGAUGCCCUGGCAGUCAGAGGCGAUGAAGGACGUGCUAAUCUGCGAUAAGCGUCGGUGAGGUGAUAUGAACCGUUAUAACCGGCGAUUUCCGAAUGGGGAAACCCAGUGUGUUUCGACACACUAUCAUUAACUGAAUCCAUAGGUUAAUGAGGCGAACCGGGGGAACUGAAACAUCUAAGUACCCCGAGGAAAAGAAAUCAACCGAGAUUCCCCCAGUAGCGGCGAGCGAACGGGGAGGAGCCCAGAGCCUGAAUCAGUGUGUGUGUUAGUGGAAGCGUCUGGAAAGGCGCGCGAUACAGGGUGACAGCCCCGUACACAAAAAUGCACAUACUGUGAGCUCGAUGAGUAGGGCGGGACACGUGGUAUCCUGUCUGAAUAUGGGGGGACCAUCCUCCAAGGCUAAAUACUCCUGACUGACCGAUAGUGAACCAGUACCGUGAGGGAAAGGCGAAAAGAACCCCGGCGAGGGGAGUGAAAAAGAACCUGAAACCGUGUACGUACAAGCAGUGGGAGCCUCUUAAUGGGGUGACUGCGUACCUUUUGUAUAAUGGGUCAGCGACUUAUAUUCUGUAGCAAGGUUAACCGAAUAGGGGAGCCGAAGGGAAACCGAGUCUUAACUGGGCGUUAAGUUGCAGGGUAUAGACCCGAAACCCGGUGAUCUAGCCAUGGGCAGGUUGAAGGUUGGGUAACACUAACUGGAGGACCGAACCGACUAAUGUUGAAAAAUUAGCGGAUGACUUGUGGCUGGGGGUGAAAGGCCAAUCAAACCGGGAGAUAGCUGGUUCUCCCCGAAAGCUAUUUAGGUAGCGCCUCGUGAAUUCAUCUCCGGGGGUAGAGCACUGUUUCGGCAAGGGGGUCAUCCCGACUUACCAACCCGAUGCAAACUGCGAAUACCGGAGAAUGUUAUCACGGGAGACACACGGCGGGUGCUAACGUCCGUCGUGAAGAGGGAAACAACCCAGACCGCCAGCUAAGGUCCCAAAGUCAUGGUUAAGUGGGAAACGAUGUGGGAAGGCCCAGACAGCCAGGAUGUUGGCUUAGAAGCAGCCAUCAUUUAAAGAAAGCGUAAUAGCUCACUGGUCGAGUCGGCCUGCGCGGAAGAUGUAACGGGGCUAAACCAUGCACCGAAGCUGCGGCAGCGACACUAUGUGUUGUUGGGUAGGGGAGCGUUCUGUAAGCCUGUGAAGGUGUACUGUGAGGUAUGCUGGAGGUAUCAGAAGUGCGAAUGCUGACAUAAGUAACGAUAAAGCGGGUGAAAAGCCCGCUCGCCGGAAGACCAAGGGUUCCUGUCCAACGUUAAUCGGGGCAGGGUGAGUCGACCCCUAAGGCGAGGCCGAAAGGCGUAGUCGAUGGGAAACAGGUUAAUAUUCCUGUACUUGGUGUUACUGCGAAGGGGGGACGGAGAAGGCUAUGUUGGCCGGGCGACGGUUGUCCCGGUUUAAGCGUGUAGGCUGGUUUUCCAGGCAAAUCCGGAAAAUCAAGGCUGAGGCGUGAUGACGAGGCACUACGGUGCUGAAGCAACAAAUGCCCUGCUUCCAGGAAAAGCCUCUAAGCAUCAGGUAACAUUAAAUCGUACCCCAAACCGACACAGGUGGUCAGGUAGAGAAUACCAAGGCGCUUGAGAGAACUCGGGUGAAGGAACUAGGCAAAAUGGUGCCGUAACUUCGGGAGAAGGCACGCUGAUAUGUAGGUGAAGCGACUUGCUCGUGGAGCUGAAAUCAGUCGAAGAUACCAGCUGGCUGCAACUGUUUAUUAAAAACACAGCACUGUGCAAACACGAAAGUGGACGUAUACGGUGUGACGCCUGCCCGGUGCCGGAAGGUUAAUUGAUGGGGUUAGCGGUAACGCGAAGCUCUUGAUCGAAGCCCCGGUAAACGGCGGCCGUAACUAUAACGGUCCUAAGGUAGCGAAAUUCCUUGUCGGGUAAGUUCCGACCUGCACGAAUGGCGUAAUGAUGGCCAGGCUGUCUCCACCCGAGACUCAGUGAAAUUGAACUCGCUGUGAAGAUGCAGUGUACCCGCGGCAAGACGGAAAGACCCCGUGAACCUUUACUAUAGCUUGACACUGAACAUUGAGCCUUGAUGUGUAGGAUAGGUGGGAGGCUUUGAAGUGUGGACGCCAGUCUGCAUGGAGCCGGCCUUGAAAUACCACCCUUUAAUGUUUGAUGUUCUAACGUUGGCCCCUGACCGGGGUUGCGGACAGUGUCUGGUGGGUAGUUUGACUGGGGCGGUCUCCUCCUAAAGAGUAACGGAGGAGCACGAAGGUUGGCUAAUCCUGGUCGGACAUCAGGAGGUUAGUGCAAUGGCAUAAGCCAGCUUGACUGCGAGCGUGACGGCGCGAGCAGGUGCGAAAGCAGGUCAUAGUGAUCCGGUGGUUCUGAAUGGAAGGGCCAUCGCUCAACGGAUAAAAGGUACUCCGGGGAUAACAGGCUGAUACCGCCCAAGAGUUCAUAUCGACGGCGGUGUUUGGCACCUCGAUGUCGGCUCAUCACAUCCUGGGGCUGAAGUAGGUCCCAAGGGUAUGGCUGUUCGCCAUUUAAAGUGGUACGCGAGCUGGGUUUAGAACGUCGUGAGACAGUUCGGUCCCUAUCUGCCGUGGGCGCUGGAGAACUGAGGGGGGCUGCUCCUAGUACGAGAGGACCGGAGUGGACGCAUCACUGGUGUUCGGGUUGUCAUGCCAAUGGCACUGCCCGGUAGCUAAAUGCGGAAGAGAUAAGUGCUGAAAGCAUCUAAGCACGAAACUUGCCCCGAGAUGAGUUCUCCCUGACUCCUUGAGAGUCCUGAAGGAACGUUGAAGACGACGACGUUGAUAGGCCGGGUGUGUAAGCGCAGCGAUGCGUUGAGCUAACCGGUACUAAUGAACCGUGAGGCUUAACCUU